rnacentral:rRNA from 1 species
AUUGAACGCUGGCGGCAUGCCUUACACAUGCAAGUCGAACGGUAACGGGCCUUCGGGUGCCGACGAGUGGCGCACGGGUGAGUAAUACAUCGGAACGUGCCCGAUCGUGGGGGAUAACGAGGCGAAAGCUUUGCUAAUACCGCAUACGAUCUACGGAUGAAAGCAGGGGACCGCAAGGCCUUGCGCGGACGGAGCGGCCGAUGGCAGAUUAGGUAGUUGGUGGGAUAAAAGCUUACCAAGCCGACGAUCUGUAGCUGGUCUGAGAGGAUGAUCAGCCACACUGGGACUGAGACACGGCCCAGACUCCUACGGGAGGCAGCAGUGGGGAAUUUUGGACAAUGGGCGCAAGCCUGAUCCAGCCAUGCCGCGUGCAGGAUGAAGGCCUUCGGGUUGUAAACUGCUUUUGUACGGAACGAAAAGCCUUAUUUUAAUACAGGAGGGUCAUGACGGUACCGUAAGAAUAAGCACCGGCUAACUACGUG